UUAAUUGAAACCAAAAAGAGGUUUAUCAUUGUUAAUGAUACUAUUGUGAAAUAAACACCAAUUAAA
rnacentral:tRNA from 1 species